GACGAACGCUGGCGGCGUGCCUAAUACAUGCAAGUCGAGCGAACAGACGAGGAGCUUGCUCCUCUGACGUUAGCGGCGGACGGGUGAGUAACACGUGGAUAACCUACCUAUAAGACUGGGAUAACUUCGGGAAACCGGCGCUAAUCCCGGAUAAUAUAUUGAACCGCAUGGUUCAAUAGUGAAAGACGGUGUUGCUGUCUCUUCUCGCUGGUUCCCCGCCGCAUUAGCUAGUUGGUCAGGUAACGGCUUACCAAGGCUACGAUGCGUAGCCGACGUGAGAGGGUGAUCGGCCGCAUGGGAGCUGAGACACGGUCCAGGCGCCUACGGGAGGCAGCAGUAGGGAAUCGUCGGCAAUGGGCGAAAGCCUGACGGAGCAAGGCCGCGUGAGUGAUGGAGGUCUUCGGAUCGUAAAACUCUGUUAUGAGGGAAGAACAAAUGUGUAAGUAACUGUGCACGUCUUGACGGUACCUAAUCAGAAAGCCACGGCUAACUACGUG
rnacentral:rRNA from 1 species